CAAAUUGUAUUGUUUUUUCUGAGUGGUGUUUUAAUAUCUGGCGCAUAUCCAGUCAUCAUGAAUUAACUUAAUGCCACAUGAAAAUUUAAGUAAAUGAAAUAUUCUUUGAUCUUACGUUUAGGGAUAUUUAACUUUAUACAUCGGUUUAAAAAAAUAUAUAUAAUUUUUUAUUUAUAAGCUUCGUCAUAGGAAAAUGGGUCUUAUGCCAUAUGAAACCAGAGUAUGCUCAGACCAGUCUCAAAAGCUAUGCUGUCUGUUUUAAAUCUAUGUAAGGUUUUGUGAUCUUAUAAGGCUUGGCUGGAGCUACACUGGCAUCUAUGUCAUAAGACCCAUGUUCGCAUGAGGCACAGUUCGUAUGUAAACAAUGACUCGUUUUUUAUUAGCUCACCUGUCACAAAGUGACAUGGUGAGCUUAUGUGAGGUGUGAUGUCCAGCAUCCGUCAACAAUUUGUUUGUGUAGACAGUAGAGGUCACAGUUUUCAUCCAAUCUUUAUGAAAUUUGGUCAGAAUGUUUAUCUUGAUGAAAUCUGGGUUGGGAUUGUAUUUGGGUCAUCUGGGGUCAAAAUCUAGGUCACUAGGUCAAAUAAUAGAAAAACCGUGUGUAGACAAUAGAGGUCACAGUUUUCAUCCAAUCUUUAUGAAAUUUGGUCAGAAUGUUUAUCUUGAUGAAAUCUGGGUUUGGAUUGUAUUUGGGUCAUCUGUGGUCAAAAACUAGGUCACUAGGUCAAAUAGAAAUACAUUGUGUAGACAAUAAAGGUCACAUUUUGCAUCCAAUCUUGAUGAAAUUUGGUCAGAAUGUUUAUCUUGAUGAAAUCUGGGUUGGGAUUGUAUUUGGGUCAUAUGGGGUAAAAAACUGAGUCACUAGGUCAAAUAAUAGAAAAACCUUGUGUAGACAAUAGAGGUCACAGUUUUCAUCCAAUCUUUAUGAAAUUUGGUCAGAAUGUUUAUCUUGAUGAAAUCUGGGUUGGGAUUGUAUUUGGGUCAUCUGGGGUCAAAAAGUAGGACAAUAGGUCAAAUAAUAGAAAAACCUUGUGUAGACAAUAGAGGUCACAUUUUUCAUCCAAACUUAAUAAAAUUUUGCCAGAAUGUUAAUCUUGAUGAAAUCUGGGUUGGGAUUGUAUUUGGGUAAUCUGGGGUCAAAAUCUAGGUCACUAGGUCAAAUCAUAGAAAAUCCUUGUGUAGACAAUAGAGGUCAUAGUUUUCAUCUGAUCUUAAUGAAAUAUGGUCAGAAUGUUUAUCUUGAUAAGAUCUGAUUUUGGAUGGUAUAUGGGUCAUCUGGGGUCACCGGGCCAAUUCUUGUAAAACCUUGUGUAGAUGAAAGAGGUCACAGUAUUCAUCACUUCUUAAUGAAAUUUUGUCAGAAUGUAUUAAUUAAUAAAAUCUGGCUUGGGAUUGUAGAUGGGUCUGAGAGAAUUUAAGUUGAUGUAGCAAGGUUAGUCAGGUGAGCGAUUCAAUGCCAUCAUGGCCCUCUUGUUCUUAUUUGUUUUCUUUAUUUUGAUUUAUAAAAAUCAAUGCUUGACGACGACUAAACCCAUGCACUUAUUGUAAAAAAUAAUGAUGGGGAUUUGAAAGUGUGUUCAUGAAAUAUAUUUUAUAUCAUUGAA